GACGAACGCUGGCGGCGUGCUUAACACAUGCAAGUCGAACGAAGUGGCGAACGGGUGAGUAAUACGUGGGUAACUGCCCUCCUUUUUGGGAUAAGCCUUGGAAACGGGGUCUAAUACCGAAUAAAGGGGGAUGGCUCGCGGCCUAUCCGCUUGUUGGUGGGGUAGUGGCCUACCAAGUCGACGACGGGUAGCCGGCCUGAGAGGGCGACCGGCCACAUUAGGCUGAGGUACGGACCAAACUCGUACGGGAGGCAGCAGUGGGGAAUAUUGCACAAUGGGGGAAAGCCUGAUGCAGCAGCGCCGCGUGCGGAAUGACGGCCUUGGGGUUGUAAACCGCUUUCAGCGAUGACGCGGUAGUGGCAGAAGAAGCACCGGCUAACUACGUGCCAGCAGCCGCGGUAAUUC
rnacentral:rRNA from 1 species